AUCCAACUGAUGAGUCUCAACUGGAACGAAACGCGCUUCCUUGAU
rnacentral:hammerhead_ribozyme from 1 species